rnacentral:lncRNA from 1 species
GUUGUCCUCACAGGUCGCAUCCUGGUCAGAGAGGAGCCUGGGGCUGGUUUCGGCGUUGCGCGUGCACGCCUGGACAGCCGCCCGCGCUCACUGCGAUUCACCCCUGCAUCUGAGCACCUCUUCACAUAUACCGGUGAAGAACACAGGCUGGAAGAAAAAAGAAGAAAAGAAAGAAAGAAAGUCCUCAAAGCCAGGAAAUCUGUGUUAAUUGCUUAUGAAUGUCUCUGUCUAAAAAAUUAUCGAAUUGAUGUUGUCGUGCUUUUUUUUGACAGCCUGUCUGUUACAUUUUUUUAAAAUAUUCAUGCACCGAAAUCUAAUUACUAGGCAAAUUUAAUGAUAAUGAAAUGAAGGCACUUUAGCAGAAAGCACAGGGCCUUGUUAAUGUUUUCUCAGCCUCUGUCUUGUUCAUAUUUUUAAAUUAUUUUUUUUUUACAACUGCCUUUCUUGCAUUUAAAAAAAAAAAGGGUUGCCGAAAAUAAAACUUGGAUUGCUGAAAA